rnacentral:sRNA from 1 species
AUCAGUUUGGUUGCUGAGCGCUCGAAGUCUUGUGUUGUUCGCAGUCGCUGCAGUCACUUUCGGCUUUUGACCACGGAUGUACUGGCACUGGCAUCGGAAAUGACGUGAGGAAGGUCGGUGCGGUUUCGCCCCGGCCUUUUUUGUU